rnacentral:lncRNA from 1 species
UUAGGCUUUUGAUACUUGCCUCCCUUGAUGUCUUCCACGUGAAACACUUGGUUGCCAAACCUUAAAGCUCGUUCACUAUUUUUCAUGGCCAUGUUAGAAGAUUUAGAUAUGGGUGUGCCACCACUUAUGGAUUAUAUCAUAUUCACCUGGCGUUGGUUACGGUUACCCCUUGGAGGGUAGAGGAGGAAUUGAUCAAUUUUUCCUUCACGUGCCAAAGCUUUAAUAUGAUCACAAAGGGUGAUACACUUCUCGCCGUCAUGGCCGUUAUGCUCGUGGUAGUAGAAAAAUAUGCCCGUGUUCUUCAUGGGCUUGUAACCCGACUGCAUCAACAUUGGCUUCGGUAUCAGGUGUGCUAUGCUGGGGUAAAUGGCCACGCAUGUGGCGUUCAAAGGUGUGUAUGUCUCAUACCUCGGGGUAGGGCCUGUCCUGACACGUGCUUGGCCCACUGUGUUGACUGCCUGGGGGCGGGCAUUAUCGUGGCGAUACCCUUGGUUAUCGCGAUAGUGUCCCUUACCCUUUUACUAAAAUGAGACU